rnacentral:lncRNA from 1 species
GGAGGGGCCAUGAAGUCUCAUCGUCUGUGAUUGAUGUACAGAAUAUGUGCUGUCAAACACAGGCUGCUUCUUCUCCCCUCUCAUUGCCAGCUCCCACUCAGCAUGCCUCCUUAGCACGUUCUGUGAUGGUGACACAAACUCCACUGAACCCUGUUGGAGUCUGAAAUUUCCCAGCAUGAGACAAAUAAACAGCAUUUUUUUCCUUUUUUUUUCCUUUUUUUUUUUCCUUUUUUCUCUUUUUGUCUCUCUUCCCAGACUGACAUGCUGUAAAAUAAAAUAAACAAGAAUUCUGAAACUUAUGUUGAUCAACACUGGUGUGGCAUGCAGAAAAUAUGUUGUGAAACAAAUGCUUUGAAUUAGGACACAUGCAAAGGCUCAGGGCUGAUUAAUAGCUACUGUAGUCAAAGACUUCUGAGAUUUUUUUUCUAAUGCUGUGGACCAGGAUAGAAUUUCAAACAUAUUAAUUAGCAAUAGUGUGCAUGUUUGUUGUUGAACCAUUGAGCAAAGGAAAGUGCUAGAACAAGCCAAGAAAUACUUUUGGAUACUCAGUCACAGAGAAAUCAAAGCAAGAGUACAACCGUCAGUCUCUGAAUUAAUUGCUCUGUGGGAGUGGGCAACUUUGAAGGUAGGGAGGAAUGAAAGACUGAUAGACUAAGGAUAGAUUUCAUUUGCUAGUCAUGCACCAAUAUUUGAUUGAUGGCUUGAUCUAGACUAAGGAUAGAUUUCAUUUGCUAGUCGUGCACCAAUAUUUGAUGGAUUGAUGCAGCCUGACUGAUGAAAAGCUCUAUCAGCCCCAUGUUUCAUCAAGAUACAAACAUGUGCAAUCUGGUAAAAAAUUUCAUCUGUGCAAAAUAACUGAUCUA